CGUGCGCGAGUCAUUGGGCUCUAACCCGAAGGCGAAGUGAAAGUGAAGGGAGUUUCGCUUUCCGAGGGAGGAUGGACGCGACGGCCCAACGGGCGGCGUCCCGCACUCCCGGGGCGUCUCUUUCUCAUUGCGAGUGGAGGCGCACCCAGAGCGUACACGUUAGGACCCGAAAGAUGGUGAACUAUGCCUGGUCAGGACGAAGCCAGGGGAAACCCUGGUGGAGGUCCGUAGCGAUUCUGACGUGCAAAUCGAUCGUCAGAGCUGGGUAUAGGGGCGAAAGACUAAUCGAACCAUCUAGUAGCUGGUUCCCUCCGAAGUUUCCCUCAGGAUAGCUGGUGUCCAUGAGAUACGAGUCUCAGUCGGUAAAGCGAAUGAUUAGAGGCAUUGGGGCCGAAACGACCUCAACCUAUUCUCAAACUUUAAAUGGCAGAGAACUUUGGCUUGCUUGAAAGUGAAGCCGAAGACUCGGAUCAGGAUGCCCAGUGGGCCAAUUUUGGUAAGCAGACUUUUUGAAAAAACCCUYUGGAUCC
rnacentral:rRNA from 1 species